rnacentral:sRNA from 1 species
GUGAGCUGCGAUACACACAGUAGUGAGUGGGAGGCACGGGGCCCGCGGGCACGAACAGCCGAAGAGCGGAGAAGACUGGGAGCAUAACCGCUGGGCAGCGGGCGGCAUGAACCGCCCCACUUUGCCGGAUACCUGGAGCUGCAGGAACGACCCACGCCCAGGCUUCUUUACCCCUACCGCCCCGUUGCCUUGGGGACGGGAUCACCUGACCUGGCGCCGUGCGCCUGCGCGGGCUGAAGGCGGGGGCGGUGCCAUGACGCGCCUCGGGGGAGGUCCUCGGGCGCGCGCCGAUCUCUUACACUCGGGCCUCAGAAGUCGGUGCCAGUGACCGGAGGCGGCGGCGGCGAGCGGUUCCUUGUGGGCUAGGCUCAAACUGCUUUUUCUGCAAACCCUGCCAAUCCAGCAAUUUUGUCAGAAGCUUCUGCUCCUAUCCCUCACGAUGGAAAUCUCUAUCCCAGACUGUAUCCGGAGCUCUCUCAAUACAUGGGGCUGAGUUUAAAUGAAGAAGAAAUACGUGCAAAUGUGGCCGUGGUUUCUGGUGC